GCUUCGGAGACCGAGUUUGGAGGAGAGAAACUGAAAUCACCCCUGCCUGAGCUAGAGUCGGGUUGACCACUCUCUUGUCACUCUCUCCUAAAGUCUUGGGCUUUUUCUAAGCAUUGGUGGAUGAAGAGGGCACCUUCCUCUUCAACAAACCUCUUAUCAGCCUCUUCACUUCUUCAGGCUUCAUUUCUGCAAUAAAAGAGGAGUCAACAUCUAUAAAAACAAGAAGAACAAGCAUAGGAAAGAUUAGAGAAAUCCUCACCUUCGGAUUCAAUCGGACUGAUGCCAACAUUGAAGAGAGCUUGCUCCGA
rnacentral:lncRNA from 1 species